rnacentral:rRNA from 1 species
UACGGGGGGGGCAAGCGUUGUUCGGAAUUACUGGGCGUAAAGGGCUCGUAGGUGGCCAACUAAGUCAGACGUGAAAUCCCUCGGCUUAACCGGGGAACUGCGUCUGAUACUGGAUGGCUUGAGUUUGGGAGAGGGAUGCGGAAUUCCAGGUGUAGCGGUGAAAUGCGUAGAUAUCUGGAGGAACACCGGUGGCGAAGGCGGCAUCCUGGACCAACACUGACACUGAGGAGCGAAAGCGUGGGGAGCGAACAGG